rnacentral:tRNA from 1 species
GCAUCGGUGGUUCAGUGGUAGAAUGCUUGCCUGCCACGCGGGCGGCCUGGGUUCGAUUUCCGGCCAAUGCA